rnacentral:rRNA from 1 species
AAUGGGUCAGCGACUUAUAUUCUGUAGCAAGGUUAACCGAAUAGGGGAGCCGAAGGGAAACCGAGUCUUAACUGGGCGUUAAGUUGCAGGGUAUAGACCCGAAACCCGGUGAUCUAGCCAUGGGCAGGUUGAAGGUUGGGUAACACUAACUGGAGGACCGAACCGACUAAUGUUGAAAAAUUAGCGGAUGACUUGUGGCUGGGGGUGAAAGGCCAAUCAAACCGGGAGAUAGCUGGUUCUCCCCGAAAGCUAUUUAGGUAGCGCCUCGUGAAUUCAUCUCCGGGGGUAGAGCACUGUUUCGGCAAGGGGGUCAUCCCGACUUACCAACCCGAUGCAAACUGCGAAUACCGGAGAAUGUUAUCACGGGAGACACACGGCGGGUGCUAACGUCCGUCGUGAAGAGGGAAACAACCCAGACCGCCAGCUAAGGUCCCAAAGUCAUGGUUAAGUGGGAAACGAUGUGGGAAGGCCCAGACAGCCAGGAUGUUGGCUUAGAAGCAGCCAUCAUUUAAAGAAAGCGUAAUAGCUCACUGGUCGAGUCGGCCUGCGCGGAAGAUGUAACGGGGCUAAACCAUGCACCGAAGCUGCGGCAGCGACACUGUGUGUUGUUGGGUAGGGGAGCGUUCUGUAAGCCUGUGAAGGUGUGCUGUGAGGCAUGCUGGAGGUAUCAGAAGUGCGAAUGCUGACAUAAGUAACGAUAAAGCGGGUGAAAAGCCCGCUCGCCGGAAGACCAAGGGUUCCUGUCCAACGUUAAUCGGGGCAGGGUGAGUCGACCCCUAAGGCGAGGCCGAAAGGCGUAGUCGAUGGGAAACAGGUUAAUAUUCCUGUACUUGGUGUUACUGCGAAGGGGGGACGGAGAAGGCUAUGUUGGCCGGGCGACGGUUGUCCCGGUUUAAGCGUGUAGGCUGGUUUUCCAGGCAAAUCCGGAAAAUCAAGGCUGAGGCGUGAUGACGAGGCACUACGGUGCUGAAGCAACAAAUGCCCUGCUUCCAGGAAAAGCCUCUAAGCAUCAGGUAACAUCAAAUCGUACCCCAAACCGACACAGG